CCUGGUGGCUCAGAUGGUAAAGAAUCUGCCUACAAUGCAAAAGACCCAGGUUCAAUUCCUGGGCCAGGA
rnacentral:tRNA from 1 species